GCCAGGCAUGGUAGUGCAUGCCUGUAGUCCCAACUACCUGGGAGGCUGAGAUGAGAGGAUUGCUUGAGCCCAGGAGUUUGAGACUGCAGUGAGCCAUGAUCCUGACACUGCACUCCAGCCUGUGUGACAUAGUGAGACACCAUCUCUU
rnacentral:SRP_RNA from 1 species